UUAUAGAAAAUUGAAAAGACAAGGUCUUAAGAAGGUUUUUUAAAGAGAGAGGCUGGUUGGUGUGAAGCCUUAAUGCCCCUUAUGAUCACCCCUUUUCUUUAUCUCUGCCGAAAGCUUACGCAAUUAAGCAGAGACGUUUCAGGCGUUAACUGGAAGAGAGGUUAUUGAGAUUUCAAUAACAAAGUUGGGUGGAACCGCGUGCUAAACGUCCCAUUG
rnacentral:ncRNA from 1 species